UUGAGCCAGUUCUAUGAUGGAGUGCUACACCCAGCAAAGGACAUGGACCAAGAGAGAGACAGAAUACCUGAAAAGAGGGACUCCAGGAGUUCCUGGGACCCUGGCAAUAAGAAAUCUGAAGAACAGAGGUGUUGGGGGCAGGAAGAUAGUCAGAAAGGUCCUCAACGAGGCUUCCUCAUACAGUGGACAAUACUGAGAGGGUAUGGAGCACUGUUGAAUUCAGAGGACUGCUUUGUGCUAACUCAGCAAGGAAAAUAUGUUCCAGAAACGGAACAUCAAUGUUUACAUUGUAAUAAUCCAAAUGCUGUCUGCUGAUGUGAGAAGAUGUUUGGACAUCUGACAGAAUCAUGAAGAACAUUACCAAUGGCCAGCACUCCCCUAAGAUGUACCCAGUGGAGCUGGGAAGAGGAUGCAAACUCAAGCCCACUUUACCUCCCACUUCCAGUGGAGAACAUGAUCAUAAAAAGGAAUAAGCAGUUACUAUCAGUGUUUGUCCCUUCCAUUAGAGGCUGAAAUCACAGAUCUUGGCUGAGGAAUACAGUAGGCUGCAU
rnacentral:lncRNA from 1 species